GGAGAAGGGCCAUAGCUUAGUGGAAGAGCAUCUGCUUUGUAUGCAAAAGGUGCCAGGUUCAAAUUCCAGUCUCUCCA